CGGCAAAAGCUCAAUUUGAAAUCGCUUCGGCGAGUUGUAAGUGAAGUGGUUAAGCUUUGAUGUAAGUUUCCUGGAACGGAACGCCAUAGAGGGUGAUAGCCCCGUUGUCUUUGCUUAAUGUGCUACUUCAGAGC
rnacentral:rRNA from 1 species